GACGAACGCUGGCGGUAUGCUUUACACAUGCAAGUCAUACGGAAGUUAGUUUCGGCUAACUUCAGUGGCGGACGGGUGAGUAACACGUGAGAAUUCGCCUUUAGGAGGGGGAUAACAGGGGGAAACACCUGCUAAAACCCCAUAUGCCUUCGGGUCAAAAGAGAAAUCUGCCUAAAGAGAAGCUCGCGGCUGAUUAGCUAGUUGGUGGGGUAAAGGCCUACCAAGGCGACGAUCAGUAGCUGGUCUGAGAGGAUGAUCAGCCAUACUGGAACUGAGACACGGUCCAGACUCCUACGGGAGGCAGCAGUGAGGAAUUUUCUGCAAUGGGCGAAAGCCUGACAGAGCAAUACCGCGUGAGGGAAGAAGGCUUACUGAGUUGUAAACCUCUGUUACCUAAGGAGGAAGAUCUGACGUUACUUAGGAGACGAAGCAUCGGCUAACUCCGUGCCAGCAGCCGCGGUAA
rnacentral:rRNA from 1 species